rnacentral:rRNA from 1 species
AACGAACGCUGGCGGCAGGCCUAACACAUGCAAGUCGAGCGAAGUCUUCGGACUUAGCGGCGGACGGGUGAGUAACGCGUGGGAAUAUGCCCUUCUCUACGGAAUAGCCUCGGGAAACUGGGAGUAAUACCGUAUACGCCCUUUGGGGGAAAGAUUUAUCGGAGAAGGAUUAGCCCGCGUUGGAUUAGGUAGUUGGUGGGGUAAUGGCCUACCAAGCCGACGAUCCAUAGCUGGUUUGAGAGGAUGAUCAGCCACACUGGGACUGAGACACGGCCCAGACUCCUACGGGAGGCAGCAGUGGGGAAUCUUAGACAAUGGGCGCAAGCCUGAUCUAGCCAUGCCGCGUGAUUGAUGAAGGCCUCAGGGUUGUAAAGAUCUUUCAGCUGGGAAGAUAAUGACGGUACCAGCAGAAGAAGCCCCGGCUAACUCCGUGCCAGCAGCCGCCGUAA